rnacentral:tRNA from 1 species
GGUGGCUCAGCGGUAGAGCGCUUGCCUUGUAUGCCUGAGGCCCUGGGUUCAAUUCCUCAGCACCA